rnacentral:lncRNA from 1 species
GCCUUUUUUGGUCCACUUAUCAUGAAGCCUAUUGUGGCGUGGAAAGGCCACAGUGACUGAAGACAUGGGGAGAGCUUCACACAGAGUAGAGUGGCAUCGAAAGCCAUUGAACACAGACAGCAGCAAAUGGAACCACAAGUCAAUCCCCUCCUUUACAACCCACAACGCAGGAAGUGGUACCGAAGGAGCCCUGACAAUGCACAUCGCUGGCCUCUGGAGGCUAAACGGCCCUGCAGGCCCCCCACUGAGGUCCACGAUACGUUUGUUCCCCUAUCUGUCAGAUAGGUAAGUGUGAAAAUUACAUAUGUGUUUAUUUAUUUUACAAUAUUACCAUUUGUACUCAAAGAAAUUCCUAUGACUAUUACAUCACAAUUAGAGAAUGCUCUGAGUCAAUGUGACACAACAUCACAGUUGCCUGAAUGGAUUUUCCAUCCAUUCAGUGUUCCAUCCAUUCAAAGUGUUAAAUAGUGGAGGUUUGGACCUGGUGACCACUUAUACAGUACUUACACGUAUACUGUAACCUCAGAAAUUAUUAGUGGCGAUGUUUAAUGCUUAAGCUGAACAUUCCCAGCAGAGUUUGUUGGAAGAUCUUUACAGCACAUGCUCAUUGUGGUGCAGCAGUAUCACUGUAUUGAACUUAACCAUUUAGAUGUCACACAGUUAUUAUCUGUUUUUGAUAUUUUAUUAUCUUAAGUCAUCAUACAAAAUACUUGUUUUCAUAUCUGUUUUUAGUUCAGUGUCCUGCAAUAUUGUAACUGUGAUGUAAGCAGUCAAGUGCAGCCUCGGUCGUAGUUUAUUCUCUGGUUUUCUCAUCCAUCGGCAUGUUCACUUAAUUGCCCUACAACCGGGAACCUGACAAGGAUCCCACUGUCUGACGUUACUGGAAAUGCAGAUAAAUAAACCUGAUCGAG